rnacentral:rRNA from 1 species
GAUGAACGCUGGCGGCGUGCCUAAUACAUGCAAGUCGAGCGAACAGAUGAGGAGCUUGCUCCUCUGACGUUAUCGGCGGACGGGUGAGUAACACGUGGAUAACCUACCUAUAAGACUGGGAUAACUUCGGGAAACCGGAGCUAAUACCGGAUAAUAUAUUGAACCGCAUGGUUCAAUAGUUAAAGACGGUUUUGCUGUCACUUAUAGAUGGAUCCGCGCCGCAUUAGCUAGUUGGUAAGGUAACGGCUUACCAAGGCAACGAUUCGUAGCCGACCUGAGAGGGGGAUCAGCCACGCUGGAAGAGAAACACGGGCCAGACUCCUACGGGGGGAAGGAGUAGAGAAUCAUCCGAAGUGGGAGAGAGGAAGACGGAACAACGCCGCGAGGGUGGUGAAGGUAUUCGGAUGGUAAAACUGUGUUAUUAGGGAAGAAAAAGUGUGUAAGUAACUAAGCACGUCUAGACGGUACGUAAAAAAAAAGCCAGGGAUAACUACG